GACAGAGGGUGCAAACGUUGUUCGGAAUUACUGGGCGUAAAGGGCUUGUAGGUGGCCAACUAAGUCAGACGUGAAAUCCCUCGGCUUAACCGGGGAACUGCGUCUGAUACUGGAUGGCUUGAGUGUGGGAGAGGGAUGCGGAAUUCCAGGUGUAGCGGUGAAAUGCGUAGAUAUCUGGAGGAACACCGGUGGCGAAGGCGGCAUCCUGGACCAUUACUGACACUGAAAAGCGAAAGCCAGGGGAGCAAACGGG
rnacentral:rRNA from 1 species